CUGCAUUGUUUGACUGCGACUCUACGCCUGCUAUGAUAACGAGCUUCACAAAUUCUAAAAGCAAUGGCAUUGAAACAGAUAGCAUCAUUUUUCUCCAGAUUUUUUAUGGUAUUUUGACAAAUUUCUGAUUUAAACAAGCUCUUCACUCCUCUCGACACAGCAACCUGCAGUGUUUGACUGCGACUCUACGUCUGCUAUGAUAACGAGCUUCACAAAUUCUAAAAGGAAUCACAUUGAAACAGAAAGCAUCAUUUUCCUCAAGACGUUUUACGGUAUAUUGACAAAUUUCUGAUUUGAACAAGCUCUUCACUCCUCUCGACACAGCAACCUGCAGUGUUUGACUGCCACUCUACGUCUGCUAUGAUAACGAGCUUCACAAAUUCUAAAAGGAAUCACAUUGAAACAGAAAGCAUCAUUUUCCUCAAGACGUUUUACGGUAUAUUGACAAAUUUCUGAUUUGAACAAGCUCUUCACUCCUCUCGACACAGCAACCUGCAGUCUUUGACUGCGACUCUACGUCUGCUAUGAUAAAGAGCUUCACAAAUUCUAAAAGGAAUCACAUUGAAACAGAAAGCAUCAUUUUCCUCAAGACGUUUUACGGUAUAUUGACAAAUUUCUGAUUUGAACAAGCUCUUCACUCCUCUCGACACAGGUACGUCUGAUUUACACGAAUUUUGCCAUAUAUAAGUAGAGACGUUUGUUCAAAGAACAAUUUUUUUUAAUUGUUUGGUUUCUGAUGUCUGAUAAAUGACUAACAAAGCGUUCAAAAAUACACUGGCGAUAUUGCCAAAGUGAUUCUUGUUGCUCUUAUAAUAGCUACUAAGUUCGUCUAUUCUCACAGGAUAAGAUUCGUACCGUUAUAAUGUCACUAUUUUCAGACAUGGUAUUUCUAGAGAAAAACUGUUGUGAUGCGAGUCAUAACAGAUCCCUGUUAGUGUUAAAUAUUUUCUAUUAACCGAAACUUGUACUUAACAAUCUAAGGGCCUUAUGUAGGGAAUUGCAUCAUAAUAUAACUACUCCGUGCGGUCUGCUUUAAAGAACUCGAGAUUGACAAACUAUUAGGCAGACACACAUAAUGUGCGUAGUAAUCGUGUUGUGCUGUGACUUUUUUGGGGACAGAUGUUUUUUCAAUUAAGUUUCGUUUCGUGUUUAUUGCUCGCGCAAGCAAUGGCCACUAACAGGUUGAAUAGUUCGCCAUGGCGGUUACUAAAUGAAAAAUGCAGACAUGCAAACAAAUAGAGAAAAGUGAAGCUGUAAAGCAGCACAUUUGUUUUGAUGUAAAGAAAGUUUCUUGUUUGGUUCAUUUUUAACCCUUUACUUUGUUCCCCAUUUGCUGAUAUAUGUGCAUUAGUUCCCCUAGUUAUUACUGUAUUGUAAGUCUACAUUAUUUAGUCAAUCUUAGCACAAAUCGUCGAAUAGAGCACUUCAAGUUAUUGUAACAAAAAACAAUAAAAAUGGCUAGCAAAAGUUUUAGCUAAGUAAAGAACCGAUUACAUGAAGCACUUUCAGCCCAGGCCCAUUAUUGUAUCCUAUCAAAAUAGCGUACGCGAUUACAUGAGAACAAUUCUAUGUAUUGUGCCAGAUGCAUCGCUAGAUCCGUUACUUGUAUCCAUCACGUUGUAGUUAGGAGGGAUUAUAGCAAGUUCUUCUUUUACGUCGAUGACCCUUUUUUCUCUAGGUUUUUUCUGUGUCAAUUUCUCGCAAAAUUGACUGCACAGCAUGUUUAGGAACUUAUGUGGGUUUACUUGUGUUUAACUGACGUGUAAGCUAAACAGAACAAUAUCUUUUAAUCAAACAUGUGCGUCAACGAACUCCUUAAUUUAUUUCUCAAGGUCAUCAUAGUUGUAGUCAAUAUUUCGCGUUUUUAGCUUAAAACUGGCCAUUAACCUUUUAAUUAUAGCAAUGUUAAAUGUUUAACAUACUGUAUGUCACGAUGUUUUUUUGAAAACACACGAAUUUCUUCAUACAUUAAUACUUUAGAGAAAUUAAAGAAGAUAAGUGUAAAACUCUUCUCUUGCAUUAGCUAGUUCUUGUGGAACGACCGCAUGUAGUGCUCCUGUCAUUACGAAUAAUUUAUGUGUGUAAAAGUUUUAUCGUGACUUGGCAUUCUUCACUUGCACACUAUUUAAAUUUUAUAAGAUAUGCUAUAAUUCUAUAUGUCAAAGAAAUGCUAAAUACAAAUGAGAGGACAUAA